GGAGAUAUUGGAUAUAGGUAAUUCAGUGCAUAAGAGCUGCAAUUCCUAUGUUGGCCAACAUAAGAAAUCAGUAAUUAACAUAUUACUAUGCUGCUAUUUGCAGUAUGGUAAUAUUUAUAAAAAAAAAAAAAAAAGUGAACAUGGUAGCCUCCUAGACUGGCUACA